UACGUAGGGGGCAAGCGUUGUCCGGAUUUAUUGGGCGUAAAGAGCGUGUAGGCGGCUAGGUAGGUCCGUUGUGAAAACUCGAGGCUCAACCUCGAGACGCCGGUGGAAACCAUCUAGCUAGAGUCCGGAAGAGGAGAGUGGAAUUCCUGGUGUAGCGGUGAAAUGCGCAGAUAUCAGGAAGAACACCCGUGGCGAAGGCGGCUCUCUGGUACGUGACUGACGCUGAGGCGCGAAAGCGUGGGGAGCAAACAGG
rnacentral:rRNA from 1 species